rnacentral:lncRNA from 1 species
CCUCCCCCUGGCCUGAGCACACAGCGUCCGCAUCUCUGGCUCUGGGCUCAGCCCAGACCUGCCUCUCUCUCGGUCAGACUGAGCGGACCCAGCACGGGGCCAGAAGGUCGAACGGCUUCUGGACACAGGUGGCCACUUCUCUGAGCCAGGCUGGGGACGAGGGACUUUGCUGGGGACAGAACAAGUCCUAGGGACCUGGGGUGCACGGGCCACCCCAGCCACGGCACAGGGCGGGAGGAGACCAGAGGGCCCAGCGUCCCUGCGGGUGGACCUUGGAAGCAGGAAACUCAAUCCGGGCAACACGCAGGUCGAUGGUUGGCGUCGACUUUAGGGCAGCUCAUGUGUGUAAGCCGGAUGUUUCCUCUUCAUCCUCUGAAGGCGCCUCUGUGGCUCUCUGUGAAGUGGGGGGCGCUCCUGUUGCCACGUGGAGGACGGACGAGAGAGGCACGCAGGUGUCCCAGGGGAUCCUGCAGCGACUGCUCCGAGGCACAGGGCUUGUACUCUCGGCCCUCACGAGGACACGGCCGUCUCAGCUUGAGAGCUCGGCUGGGGAGAGAGUGUCCUGUCCUGUCGGCAGCUCAUGCCUUCUGCUGCAUCCUGGAGAAGGUGACGGAGCUGGGCUGGGUCCUGCUGUGCCCCUGGGGGUCUUGCCUGGGUCUCCUGCCCUCCGUUUGCUCCCAGGAGCACGCGGCAGCUAGUGCAGGCCUACGGAAAAGACCGGAGCCUGAACGCCGACUCCCUUGGUGUCUGGGGUCUGCCAACCAGGACCCCGGCCUGCAUUUUGCUUUUAAGAAUUGA